rnacentral:rRNA from 1 species
GCACGAGAAAGUGGAGCAAUCCAUGAGUACAGUGGCGUACGGGUGAGUAACACGUGGAUCAUCUACCUCUUGAUGGGGAAUAACCCUGGGAAACCGGGGCUAAUACCGCAUAAGCCUGUAAAGGGAAAGCAGCAAUGCGUCGAGAGAGGAGUCCGCGGCCGAUUAGCUAGUUGGUAGGGUAACGGCCUACCAAGGCGACGAUCCGUAGCUGGUCUGAGAGGACGACCAGCCACACUGGGACUGAGACACGGCCCAGACUCCUACGGGAGGCAGCAGUGGGGAAUAUUGGACAAUGGGGGAAACCCUGAUCCAGCGACGCCGCGUGUGUGAAGAAGGCCUGCGGGUUGUAAAGCACUUUUAGUGGGGAUGAAAAGCUCAGGGCUAACACCUCUGGGUCUUGACCUAACCCACAGAAAAAGCACCGGCUAACUCUGUG